UGGAAACGACUGCUAAUACCGCAUAAGCCCACGGCUCGGCAUCGAGCAGAGGGAAAAGGAGCAAUCCGCUUUGAGAUGGCCUCGCGUCCGAUUAGCUAGUUGGUGAGGUAAUGGCCCACCAAGGCGACGAUCGGUAGCCGGACUGAGAGGUUGAACGGCCACAUUGGGACUGAGACACGGCCCAGACUCCUACGGGAGGCAGCAGUGGGGAAUAUUGCACAAUGGGGGAAACCCUGAUGCAGCGACGCCGCGUGGAGGAAGAAGGUCUUCGGAUUGUAAACUCCUGUUGUUGAGGAAGAUAAUGACGGUACUCAACAAGGAAGUGACGGCUAACUACGUGCCAGCAGCCGCGGUAAAACGUAGGUCACAAGCGUUGUCCGGAAUUACUGGGUGUAAAGGGAGCGCAGGCGGGAGAACAAGUUGGAAGUGAAAUCCAUGGG
rnacentral:rRNA from 1 species